CGUCCUGUAGCGCAAUGGGUAGCGCGUUGAACCUCUAAUCCAAAGGUCGUGAGUUUGAAUCCCACCUGGGAUGG